rnacentral:lncRNA from 1 species
ACAUCCAGACCCUAACCCUUAUUUGUGUGACCCAGUUAGGUUCAAUUCUAUAUGGUAAUGAGACAUGUCAUGAUCUCAUCAUCGAUAUCAUCGAAACUUCUUUCGAUGGACUAGAACUCUUCUGAUUCAGACAAUUAGAAUGAUCGAUCAUCAAAAUCAUUCCAAUUGCUCCCAAAAUCCACCAGUGAUAUCUAGCAGUAUAUGGUGGCAACCCAUC